rnacentral:rRNA from 1 species
CCUACGGGGGGCAGCAGUGAGGAAUAUUGGUCAAUGGACGAGAGCCUGAACCAGCCAAGUCGCGUGAAGGAAGACUGCCCUAUGGGUUGUAAACUUCUUUUAUAUGGGAAUAAUAUGUUCCACGUGUGGGAUUUUGUAUGUACCAUAUGAAUUAGGAUCGGCUAACUCCGUGCCAGCCGCCGCGGUAAUACGGAGGAUUCGAGCGUUAUUCGGAUUUAUUGGGGUUAAAGGGAGCGUAGGUGGGUUGUUAAGUCAGUUGUGAAAGUUUGCGGCGCAACCGUAAAACUGCAGUUGAAACUGGGAGUCUUGAGGACAGGAGAGGUGGGCGGAAUGCGGGGUGUAGCGGUGAAAUGCUUAGAUAUCACGAAGAACUCCGAUGGCGAAGGCAGCUCACUGGACUGCGACUGACACUGAGGCUCGAAAGUGUGGGUAUCGAACAGGAUUAGAUACCCGAGUAGUC